rnacentral:lncRNA from 1 species
CAUCGUUUCUUCGUUCGGAUCUUAGCGUCAAUUUUACGAAAGCUCUAAGCCUUUCGUUUGAUUUUCGUUUGGUACUCCAGAGGUUUGAAAAUUGCUCAAUAACUCCUGUGUGAAGAAUUGUUGCAAUAGGAAAGUGCUGGGCGUUGGAAGCGUCUCUAACUGCGUAAAACCUUCGUAACAUGGAAUUUUUAAGAGCUUAUAGGACUUUGCCACCCCUUUUUGAAACCAUCUGCGAGGAUAUAGUUGUGUAUAGUACACUAAUUCCUCCAAAGAACAUAUACGGGGAAUUGAUACUACCACUAAGGAGUUGUUAGGGAGCUGUGGAACUAAGUGUAGAUAGGUCCAUGGCCCAGCAAACAGUCUCUGAGUGCCUCAGGCAAGUGUCUGAGUCAGCCUCAUAUAUUGACUAAAUUUAUAAAAUUUCCACAAAUCCGACAAGAAAGGACUCUUAUUAAAGUACAAAUCAAAUAAUUAAACAACUACUAACUCGCUAGAGCUGCCAUAACCAACACUGCAUCACGCAUGGAAGAUUAACUACCAAAUAUAUGUUAUCGGAAAAUAAAACAUUAUUACAAUCAUUUUUA